UACGUAGGUGGCAAGCGUUAUCCGGAAUUACUGGGCGUAAAGCGCACGCAGGCGGCGCAGCAAGUUCGACGUGAAAGCUCCCGGCUUAACUGGGAGAGGUCGUUGAAGACUGCUGUGCUUGAGGCAAUGAGAGGGGUGUAGAAUUCCCGGUGUAGUGGUGGAAUGCGUAGAUAUCGGGAGGAACACCAGUGGCGAAGGCGGCUCACUGGACCGGAACUGACGCUGAGGCGCGAAAGCGUGGGGAGCAAACAGG
rnacentral:rRNA from 1 species